rnacentral:misc_RNA from 1 species
UACGUAGGGGGCAAGCGUUAUCCGGAAUCACUGGGUGUAAAGGGAGCGUAGACGGUCAUGCAAGUCUGGAGUGAAAGGCGGGGGCCCAACCCCCGGACUGCUCUGGAAACUGUGUAACUGGAGUGCAGGAGAGGCAGGCGGAAUUCCUGGUGUAGCGGUGAAAUGCGUAGAUAUCAGGAGGAACACCGGUGGCGAAGGCGGCCUGCUGGACUGUAACCGACGUUGAGGCUCGAAAGCGUGGGGAGCAAACAGG